GGUUGUGAUUAUACCAGCACUAAUGCACCAGAUCCCAUCAGAACUCCGCAGUUAAGCGUGCUUGGGCGAGAGUAGUACUAGGAUGGGUGACCCCCCUGGGAAGUCCUCGUGUUGCAACCCCC
rnacentral:rRNA from 1 species